UCUUGGAAUUCCAGGGGAAUUUUGGGAUUUUUGCCCCUGCAGGGACGAUGAGGACGAAGCCGAGCCCCAAAACUCCCCGGAAUUCCCAAAUCCCGGAAUUCCGGCGGAGCUGCCGGGGGGUCCCGGCCCCGCCCUCAGGGGGGUCCUGGCCCGGAAGGUUCUGACGGAGAGCGACGGGAAAAAGGCUCCCUGGGGCCGGCGGGGCUGGAAGCGAUUCGGGGCCGAGCUCCGGGGGUCCCUCCUGCUCCUCCUCAGGGACCCCCCCGAGGGACCCCAGGAGCUUUUGGGGCUCCCCCACGCCCUGGCCCAGCCCCACCCCAAAUACACCAAGAGACCCCACGUCUUCCUCCUCAGCACCGGGGACCGGCGGCAGUUCCUGUGCCAGGCAGGGAGCGCGGCGGAGCUGCAGCGCUGGGUGGGGGGGAUCAACCUGGCGGCGGCGCUCUGCUCCCGGCCCCCG